rnacentral:rRNA from 1 species
GUGUCAGCCGCCGCGGUAAUACGGAGGGUGCGAGCGAAAAUCGGAAAUACUGGGCGUAAAGCGCAUGCAGGUGGUUUGUUAAGUCAGAUGUGAAUGCGCGGGGCUCAACCUCGGAAUUGCAUUUGAAACUGGCAGGCUAGAGUACUGUAGAGGGGGGUAGAAUUUCAGGUGUAGCGGUGAAAUGCGUAGGGAUCUGAAGGAAUACCGGUGGCGAAGGCGGCCGGCUGGACAGAUACUGACACUCAGAUGCGAAAGCGUGGGGAGCAAACAGGAUUAGAAACCCCAGUAGUCC